AAGCAGCCAUCUUAAAAAAUGACGUCAAAGUCUGUGUCCAUCAGCGUCAACCGAACAAAUAUGGUUGAUGUCAGUUCAUAGUGUUGAAUACACCAGUGACGUACAUCUAUUAGGUGCCAUGCGAUACGAAAAUAUAUAUGCAGCAAUUUGAAUGAGGCCAUACGUGAUGCUUGCCUUCAGUAAAUUUUCGACGUAGCACGGAAACUGAUGGGUAUACCUGACUGACUGAAACACGCAAAUUGGGCACCGAUAUUCCGGCACCCUGUUUAAUCCGGCAAUUAUUAUGGCAUUACCGAAUCCAUUGAGCCGUGCGUUGGACAGCGAUGCUCCGGCGCCCCCUGAAAUCCGACAAGUCGGGCCCAUCGCCUAUCUGGAAAUACAAGUCAAAUAAUGCCAUUUAUAGGAAAGGUAGCAAACGUACCUAUAUUUCCACCUAGAAUCGUUUCAGAGCAUAAGUUAUUUUCACAUAGCCGUUUCCGAAAUAACCGUCGUAUCAGUUGUAAGACUCUUGCGCACGAAAAUAUGUAUUUUGUCUAAUUAAUAUGCACGUAAUACAGAUACUUUAUAACUUGCAGUAUUGUGUUGGGGUGAAGGCAUAACGAGACCCAAUGCAGGAGGAACGAUGCACUAUCAUUAUAAGCAAUACGAAGAGCCUGCAUGGAACCAAGUACGAUCGCUUAUCUGAGUACGCGAAAACGCGUGGACAGGUUCUCUCCCCUUCCGUACAUUGUCAAACGAAUGGCCAGCCGACGGAGUAUAAUGACAGUGGCGGACCCUCUGGUUCCUCUUCCGUCCGUCUCCAAGGCAUGCUCCACCUAGGGUACAUUAUGAUAGGGGUGACUCUCGGUCCGCUUCGCGGGCUCCGGUUAUGAAAAUAUCAGUAUUUAUCGGAUUUAUUAUAAUCCAUACUUAUUCAAAAAACUGCUUCCUGUAUUGGUUAUGUCAUAUAAUAACACUCAAGCACUGCUAACAAGUAAGAAAGUAAGUUCAUAAAGUAAGAAAGUUCAUAGUUUAUCAAACAAACUAAAACAAAUGUUUUCAACAACUCUGUUGCCAUUGUCAGGUUCACACAUAAAUAAAAGAAUACGUAAAUGGACAUAGAACACAAUCAGUACAAAUUUAAAAUUUAAGUCAAAAAGGUUACCAUGGCAAUUUUUUACAAUCAAUAAAUAAAUAAUUAAAAUAGAUAAAAUAGAAAUAAAAACAAAAAACAUAUAUUUUUUAAAUGGUAUGGCCAUCAAAUCAUGGUGAUAUAAAAAUAAAAGGGCUAGAUACAGACGGGUAUAAGUUAUGUAGCGAUUCAUAUCACUCUUUGUUGCGUUAAUAAAUAUGUCCAUGCAGCAGGCAAGUCGGCUGCAGGUCGAUCAUUAAGGAGAUUUUGUUUCUUCUUUCUAGUUAAUAUUUCGAUGGUCUCCUGGGUUAUGGCUGUGGUCGGGUUAGAAAAAGGUUUAACUAUUUUCGCGUCAUCCCAUUCAAUUAUAAGGUCUUCAGUUAGUGCGCAUUCAGCUAGGGCUGUCGAUAUUCUACCGGUCUUAAUGUCUCUUUUAUGCUCUUUGAGCCUCUGGUGCAAAGUUUUACUAGUUACCCCUA
rnacentral:lncRNA from 1 species